rnacentral:rRNA from 1 species
GAUGAACGCUGGCGGCGUGCCUAAUACAUGCAAGUCGAGCGAACAGACGAGGAGCUUGCUCCUCUGACGUUAGCGGCGGACGGGUGAGUAACACGUGGAUAACCUACCUAUAAGACUGGGAUAACUUCGGGAAACCGGAGCUAAUACCGGAUAAUAUAUUGAACCGCAUGGUUCAAUAGUGAAAGACGGUUUUGCUGUCACUUAUAGAUGGAUCCGCGCCGCAUUAGCUAGUUGGUAAGGUAACGGCUUACCAAGGCAACGAUGCGUAGCCGACCUGAGAGGCGGAUCGGCCACCCGGGAACGGAGACACGGUCCAGACUACUACGGGAGGCAGCAGUAGGGAAUCUGCCGCAAUGGGCGAAAGCCUGACGGAGCAACGCCGAGUGAGUGAUGAAGGUCUUCGGAUCGUAAAACUCUGUUAUUAGGGAAGAACAAAUGUGUAAGUAACUAUGCACGUCUUGACGGUACCUAAUCAGAAAGCCACGGCUAACUACGUG